rnacentral:rRNA from 1 species
GACGAACGCUGGCGGCGUGCCUAAUACAUGCAAGUCGAACGCAGUUGGGACGGGUGAGUAACACGUGGGUAACCUCCCCAUCAGAGUGGAUAACACUUGGAAACAGGUGCUAAACCGAUACUGCUGGAUGGACCCGCGGUGCAUUGGCUAGUUGGUGAGGUAACGGCUCACCAAGGCCACGAUGCAUAGCCGACGUUAGAGGGUGAUAGGCAACACUGGUACUGAGACACGGCCCAGACUCCUACGGGAGGCAGCAGUAGGGAAUCUUCGGCAAUGGACGAAAUUCUGACCGAGCAACUCCGCGUGAGUGAAGAAGGUUUGCGGAUCGUAAAACUCUGUUGUUAGAGAAGCGGUAUCUAACGAGAAAGCCACGGCUAACUACGUGCCAGCCGCCGCGGUAAUUC